rnacentral:rRNA from 1 species
UGGGGAAUAUUGCGCAAUGGGCGAAAGCCUGACGCAGCCACGCCGCGUGAGCGAUGAAGGCCCUAGGGUCGUAAAGCUCUGUGGAGGGAGAAGAAUAAAGCCAGCGAAGAGCUGGCCUUGACGGUAUCCCUUUAGCAAGCACCGGCUAACUCCGUGCCAGCAGCCGCGGUAAUACGGAGGGUGCAAACGUUGCUCGGAAUCAUUGGGCGUAAAGCGCACGUAGGCGGCUUUGCAAGUUGGAUGUGAAAGCCCUGGGCUCAACCCAGGAAGUGCAUCCAAAACUGCAUGGCUCGAGUGCCGAAGGGGGCCAGAGAAUUCCCGGUGUAGAGGUGAAAUUCGUAGAUAUCGGGAGGAAUACCAGUGGCGAAGGCGCUGGCCUGGUCGGAUACUGACGCUGAGGUGCGAUAGCGUGGGGAGCGAAACAGGAUUAGAUACCCUGGUAGUCCACGCCGUAAACGAUGAGUGCUAGGCGGUGGGAGUAG